GACGAACGCUGGCGGCGUGCUUAACACAUGCAAGUCGAACGAUGAAGCCCAGCUUGCUGGGUGGAUUAGUGGCGAACGGGUGAGUAACACGUGAGUAACCUGCCCUGGACUCUGGGAUAAGCGUUGGAAACGACGUCUAAUACCGGAUAGGACCUCGGAUCGCAUGAUCUGGGGUGGAAAGUUUUUCGGUCUGGGAUGGACUCGCGGCCUAUCAGCUUGUUGGUGAGGUAACGGCUCACCAAGGCGUCGACGGGUAGCCGGCCUGAGAGGGUGACCGGCCACACUGGGACUGAGACACGGCCCAGACUCCUACGGGAGGCAGCAGUGGGGAAUAUUGCACAAUGGGCGAAAGCCUGAUGCAGCAACGCCGCGUGCGGGAUGACGGCCUUCGGGUUGUAAACCUCUUUUAGUAGGGAAGAAGCGUAAGUGACGGUACCUGCAGAAAAAGCGCCGGCUAACUACGUGCCAGCAGCCGCAGUAAAAC
rnacentral:rRNA from 1 species